UUUAAUUAAUGUUAAAGGAUUGUUUUAAAUAUAAAGAAUAUAAAGAAAAGAAUGUUAGUCAAUGUGCCUUGUACCACUUACCAUAAACAUUACUUAGGCUAUAGCAAAAUUGUAUAUACCUUUAGAAUUCCUUCCCUUCCAUUAGGUAUAAUGCUGAUUUUUCCCCCUCAAAUUUAAUGAAUAUAUAGGAGUAAAUUUGAAGAUAUGAGAUACAUUGUGUGAGGAAAUAUUAUUCUUGUGUAUAUUGGGGUUGAACACUAAGAUAAAAGGAAUUUUUAAGGAGGAUAUCAAUUAAUGUCAAAAGACUGAUCAAGAAAACUAAUUUUUCUUAAUAAAAUUAAUACACCACUGCACUUUGAAAUUAUUUAUAUUUUGUUGACCAUGCACUUUAAAUUUUUUUUUAUUUUUUUCAAAUAAAGAUAGAAAUUUUUCUUGUUCAAGAAGCUUGUUGAUAGCUUUUAAUCAUCUCUGUGAAAAAAUGAUGCAAAGAAGAGUCCAGAACCUCAAUUUAUUUUCUUGUCAAAUAGACAAAGGUGACAACGAACUGGGGCUUUGUACUUGUAUCUUCUUUGAUCCAGCAGAUGAGGAUGGAAAGGAACCAGGGGUUUUUAUAACUGAAAUUAUUGAAGGAGGUGCAGUUCACAAACUUGGAUGUAUCCGUGUAUUUGACCAGAUUAUUAAAAUAGGUGACAUCAAUCUAAUUGGAUUGGAUGAAGCAGAAAUCGUCUCUACUUUUAAAAAAAUGGACGAUUCUCCUUUCCAGAUUGAAAUUGGCCGCGAACCACCUGAAGUGAAGUCAGAACUUAUCGAACUCCUUGAGUUGUCAGAGCAAAGGAAGAAAUAUUUUAUGGAUUCGCUCAUAGUACAGGAAAAAAUUGGAGAUAUCACUAUUGUGAGAGGACAAGCAAGUAUUUGUAGAAGUCCAAGAGUACCAUGGUUCUGGAUGGCCAGUGACCUGAAAUUUGUUAUUGGGGUACUGAAAACAUUAAUAGAAGAAGAUCAGGGAUGUAGAAAAGACAUCCAAGCUAUCUUUGAGCAGGCUAACAUUUUUCAAGACAAUUAUAAAGACAUGAACACAUACAAAGUGAAUAUGGAACAGAAACCUGAUGAAUCAGAUAAAGAAGGCACAUUUUUACCAUUGGCCCCAGAAGAAGAAUUUUUACUAGGACAAUUUAAAAUAAAGCCUAAAGAGAUAAAAAAUGAAGAUUUAUCACCAGAGCAAUUAUUAGCCCAAGGGGAUUUCAAUUCAGGUAAGACAUAUAUCCUUGCUCAAAACAUUUGACCCUAAAGUUUUCUGAUAGAAAAGAGAAAUUUGGAACAAAUGUUUCCAUCACUCACCGAAUAUCUGGUCUCUAUUUCUUUUCCCUUCAUAUCUCUAAUAAUGAGAAUGCUAGCUGCUUUAUAAGGCUUUCUCAACUAUUGGUGAUCCCUCUCUUGGUGAUUGAACUAUAAGGGACAUUGGAAAUAUUCUACUAUAACAUUUUAAUUGCUAUAGAAAUCUAUCCUAUAUGUAAGUCAGAAUGUCAUUUAGAUUCUGCCUCAAAAUAUGCAGUGAUAAGAAACUCAUUUUCUCAACAUCCAGGCCACACUAUUGCUAAAUUACUUAAGCUUUUAGAAAAUAUUUCAGUACAAUGUUUUUCCUAAGGAUUUUUUUUUAUAAUUUAGUCCUUUUCCCUUCUUUUGAAAUAAUACAGAAAAAGAUCUUGUUCCUCUUUCCCGAUUACUAUCCAUUUGACCUAUAAAAUCAACUUAUUUUCCACCUAAGUCUUUUUUUUAAUCUCUAUGAUCAUGUUUAGCCUGAAAACAAUCUUUAUAUGAUUUCUUAUUACAUCCUUGGGACAUGGUUUUGUUUAGAGUCUAUUAUCCAUCCUACUUUAAUGACAUCCAUUUUAGUUUAUCAACAUUCUGUUGGUCUCAUUGCAACAAAAUCUUUUUUUAAUUCAAUUACUUAUAGGAAUAUUUUUGGCCAUUUCUUUUGACAUUUUAAAAUUCAGAUACCCCAAUCUCCCUUUCCCUACCUGAGGGGGUGAAGAAUCUGAUAUAGGUUAUACUCAUACUAUCAUGUAAUACAUAUUUCCAUAUUGUUCCCAUCAUGAUAAAGAC
rnacentral:lncRNA from 1 species